rnacentral:rRNA from 1 species
AAUGAAACCUAGUGAUUUAUCUGUUAGUGGCGGACGGGUGAGUAACGCGUGGGUAACCUGCCGUAUACAGGGGGAUAACACUUAGAAAUAGGUGCUAAUACCGCAUAAGCGCACAGCUUCGCAUGAAGCAGUGUGAAAAACUCCGGUGGUAUACGAUGGUUCCGCGUCUGAUUAGCUAGUUGGCGGGGUAACGGCCCACCAAGGCAGCGAUCAGUAGCCGGCCUGAGAGGGUGAACGGCCACAUUGGGACUGAGACACGGCCCAAACUCCUACGGGAGGCAGCAGUGGGGAAUAUUGCACAAUGGGGGAAACCCUGAUGCAGCGACGCCGCGUGAGUGAAGAAGUAUUUCGGUACGUAAAGCUCUAUCAGCAGGGAAGAAAAUGACGGUACCUGACUAAGAAGCCCCGGCUAACUACGUGCCAGCAGCCGCGGUAAUACGUAGGGGGCAAGCGUUAUCCGGAUUUACUGGGUGUAAAGGGAGCGUAGACGGCAGCGCAAGUCUGGAGUGAAAUGCCGGGGCCCAACCCCGGAACUGCUUUGGAAACUGUGCAGCUUGAGUGCGGGAGAGGUAAGUGGAAUUCCUAGUGUAGCGAUGAAAUGCGUAGAUAUUAGGAGGAACACCAGUGGCGAAGGCGGCUUACUGGACCGUAACUGACGUUGAGGCUCGAAAGCGUGGGGAGCAAACAGGAUUAGAUACCCUGGUAGUCCACGCCGUANACGAUGAUUACUAGGUGUCGGGGGACCAAGGUCCNCCGGUGCCGGCGCAAACGCAUU